CUGGCAACCAGCAGAGCUCCACUGAUACUGACUAGUAGAGCCCAUAGAGAUACUAAGGAAAUAUUUUUCCUAGCAACAAGCGUCACACAAAAACAUGAAGAAAUGCUUCCCCUGCUCAUAUUUCCUUUCAAUUUUUUCAGUCAUCUGGUGCUGAGAUAAGAGCUGCGUGGUGAAACCUGCUGCUAGUUUGUGUUUCACAGGCAAUCUGGAGCGCUGACGAACACGCCAGGGCUGCCAUUAGGGCAGCGUGGGGCCUAAGAUGGUGGCCAUGCCAGGAGGAGGCAGGAGAGUGGGUAAACCAGGCAAUGCUUUCUGAGGCUGUAGCCUGUGAGCAGGGCCUUGUAGCCCUCCUCCUGGCACUACCCAAGGUGUCAACACAAAACCUGCUUCAGAUGAGGCCAUUUUGAUGCUGCUUUGAUGAAGAAACAGCAGUUAAUGAGGCCUGGAGAUGAGUACUGCUGGCUGACAGGCCUUCACCAUGGCCUGGGAUCCUAGGGUGUUCCCAGACACAGUGGGAAUUAAACACACAAAACCUAUGGGCUCAAUGGAGAGAGGUGCUUACAUACAGCUGUGCUCCUGAGGCUGUUCUCAGGGCUGAGCCAUGCUGAAACGGUGUGCGCAGAUGUGAGGCCAACAGCAGAGGCAGAAAGGCUUUGUCAACACCAGCAAAUCACUGAUUCUACCUCUGCAAGGUCAGCUUCUGAAGGCAACGUGUCUAAGACCACGGCUCCACAACCGUAUACAUAUUGAAUCCUACAAAGCGUGGAUUAUGCAGUACAGCCCACCUCUAGUCUCAAGUAAAAGGAGAGACAGAUCAACAUUUUUCAGGACUUUACAGGACCCCUAAUUACUGCAAGAGUUCCUGAUACCAGGGAAUGAGUCCAUCCAGCAGAUCAUAAACACAUCACCAAGUCAUGAUUGUGGAACAUCACUUCCUGCUGAUACCUAAAUAUUAAUGUAAGUGAAACCUGAAGAGGUUGCUUUUAGUGUGUGGUGAAUGUUGCAUUGUUACCAGGUGACCAGUAUUUUUUUUUAAUCAUUGAAUGUACUCGUUUAUCAAAGUGCCUUUGAGAUAAGCAGAAGUAAGGCUUGAGGCACUUUGUAUAAAUCCUGAAAAUGGCCUGGGGCAGAAUUAUCCUGGGCUUAAGGACAUAUUGAGAGAAGUAUCAAGACAUGGGAUGAUGCUCAGCAAGGGUAGAUACAAACAGUGUAAGCAGCGAUAACUGAACUAGUCACCACAGCACAAGGUACUAUGAGGUCUCAAUUCACGUUCUCCUAAAUGUGUGAGAUAGGAUGAACCACAGCCUGCAGGUGCUGUUUCUUCCUAUCAGCUACUAGGGGGAUGUGUGUGAGCAGCUGACGUGCAGCUCUCUGCCGGCGGGCAUGGUGAGGUGAGCUCCGUUCCCUGUGUCUGCUGAAAAGAGCCAAGUGCCCUCCCCACUGCAAAACGUGGUGGGCGUGAAAGGGAGUCUGAGCAAACAUUCAGUGCUGCAGAGUUCAGUGCUUUAGUCUGGGCUACUACAAGCAGAAUUCUUCUCUUUGUCAAGAAUUUUUAAAUAAAAACAAUGUGUAAAGGAUCAGCAAUUAUUAUUGACAGUAAGCAUCAAGACUAUCAGAAGUACUCCACAGAGAAAUGUGUCACAAUAAUAAAAUAGAAGCAGCUUAGUACUGCAACAUCAGAACCCCAAACUGUACUCAUAGCAAUCUUUAAUCACCAUCUUCACCAUGUCUAUUUGUUACCCCCUACUUGUUGAAACAUUACACUUCCCUUUUGAUUAGGGCCUGGUUUUGUGAAGUGCUGAGCGUCCUCAUCUCACAUCAACAUCAACGCAUUGUAGACUUAUACCCAGGGAGAGAUGAAAUACAGCACAUAAUGUUUCAUAUCACAUAGGUGUGGAUGGCUGUGAAUCAAGGAAACAAUUGCUUCUAAAUAAAUGAUGUGCGGAUAGAAAAGUGAUAACGUAAUGCAUGAUUUGAGAGUAAAAGCCCAGCUCCUGUGAAUUCGUUUCAGUAAGAGUAGAGUGGUGCCACUAACAGUGCUGUUCUAUGAAGUCAACUGGCAUUUCCAUUGUAUUAACGUAGAUUGCUGGAGUUGAUAUGUCUGUCAGUUCAAGUCAUACUGAGCUGCAAUUUAGUGUGAAAAAAAUAAGAAUUUUUAAAUUGCUGAAAUGAUGAAUUUUCUCUCUUUCUGCAUCACAAACAAAACAGAAUUUAUACUUCAUGAACUAUUUGGCAACCCUCAUAUCAUUAACACCUUCCUUUUGUAUGAAUGGAUAAUAGGAAGGAAGAUGGAGAUAAGCUAGCCCCGCAUUUAAAAGAUUUGCUCAACACAGACAGUCCUUCCUUUCCACAAGAUUUUUUGUGUCAAAAUGAGAAAUACAUUACAAGCCUGAUUUGACCAUAAUAUUAACAAAAAACACUAUAGACAAUUCAUAAUGAAUGCUCAAGUAAACAAAUCCUUCAAAAAAAAGAGGUGUCAUGAAAAACAUUAGAAGUUGAAUUUACUUGCACCAAAGCCUACACUUGCAUUUCCAUUGACUCCAGACGGAGGAGGACUUCGUUCCUGGGAAGUUCAGUACAAAGAUGAUUGUCUUUCUAUCAGUAAGUCUGGGAGUGUGGGCUCCAUGGCCUUCCACAUGAAUGCUAAAGGGAAUAAAGUGCUAUAAAUCCCUGUUUCUGCAGUGAUAAGUAUUCUGGCCCCAGUUGAAGUAUGUGGAAAUAAAUUACAGUUACAAGAGUUUUAGAGUCCUACCAAAAUCUCCAGGUUACCACAUCCACAGUCCAACCAAAGGUAAAUCUUCCAAGGCUCUUGUUAACUCUGUGACUUAAACAAGCAGCCCAGGACCCAUUUCAGUGUUUGUUAUCAGCUUUUUCAAAUAUUUCAGUUACACUUACUAGCUAUAGAAGGUCUGAGACUCUUUGUUUUGGCUAUAUACAGAAUUUUCCAAAUUCACUGUUUGUAAUCAAAACUAAAGACUGAUUUAUCUUGGAAUUUUCAAAUAAGUUGGUUCAAACUGUGGCUGUCAAUUUGUAGACCUGUAAGAGCUUUCUAAAGUUGAUUCUGGUUUGACCUGGUAAAUAAUCAGCCUUUCUAAAUUCUCUGAUGCUUAAAGAUAGUGGCAAGGUAUUUUGGCCAUGCAUUUCUAUAGUGUAAGUAAGUCAGAAGUAAGCAAAUUUCUUUCCAUUCCUUUUUCCUCUUCUGUGUGCUUUAUUCUCAUUUUUUCAUUGCUUGAGAUGUCUACAGCUUUAUACAGCUUUGAACAGAACUGAACAUAUAGUUACCCACUUUUGAGCCACUACUAAGUGGAAUUCAGCAUGUUGUACAUUGUAUGGAUUGGAGAGCAGGAGAGUUGCCUGGGGGGAGAGGGAAUCAUUUGUCCUCCUGGCAUGCUCUCUGCUCAAAAGAUGCUUGAACCCUGCUGUCCUGAGCUCAGGAGCACUUCUGGAAUCGGAGGAAGAUUCCUUGUUCUCAUCCCCAGAAUGUUUCCAGCAGGACUGAAAACCCUCUUUAUAGGCUGCUCCCAAAGCCAUGCACUACUGCUCCUGCAGGCUUGUACCUCUCUUCCCAGUCUGCUCCUGCGUUCUGUAUCUGCUUCUCCAUGUGCUCGCUUUUUUCUGCAUAAAUCCCUGCCCCAAACAAAAUCAACAAUGCUCCCCACCCAGAUCUUUUAAAUUCCUGAGCAACCUUGUAUUCACCUUGUUUAGGGCAGAAACAUGUGUUGAACUGUUUCUUACAGCUUCGAAGAGAUGUGCGGUGGUUAAUCCUACCAUUUUCAUCGAGGCUGAACUCAACCUAUAACAAAACCAUCAGUAAAAAUGUAACCACCUCACAGCUGUGUAUGUGUGCAUGUGUAGAAUGUGGAAAGGAAUUUGCAAAAGAACCGGCCAUCUUUCCAUGAAGUUCCAGCUGAACAGGGUCCACAAUCAGGAUGAGGACUCAGUUCAGUUCGUUUGUGAGUUUCAUAUAGGAAAAAGUGUGUAGUUCUUUGCCAUUUAUUCUGUUGGGACUAUAGAUUUUGGUGCCCUCAUGUUUUCUUCUUCAGACAUCAAGCCCCACCAUUUUUGCUCUGAGCUGACCCAAUCUGAACACCAGAUUGGGAGCCAGGGAGGCCACAGUAGUUGUGAAGUUUAGGCUGUCAACCAUACACGUCUUCUGGGCAGGAGCCAGCCUCCACCUGACCAGCUGGAGAAUGGUCUGCACUUCUCUGAGUUCGCAGACUAAUCUGUAUCAGUAAGCCUUUGCCUUCCUGAGACCAUGAGAUUUGGAAUGGUUGAAUUACUAAUGGAGGUCUCUCUACUGGUACUUUGCUAUAAAAGUAUUCAGUUAUGAUAUGCUCACAAACGCAUAAAAUAGUGCUUAUUGAAUUUGAGUGUGUCAUACAUGUCAACCCCAAAUGAUGCUGAUGUUGUCUUAAUGUCUUAAUAAGACAGCAUUUUAUGCUCUGAAAGGGCUUGUGCAUGACGCAUUCCGUGGUCACUUGGAGGUAGGAGUUCUGUGACGCAAUGUGGUCUCCCAUCGGCAGCAGGCAUGUUGUGCAAGGGAAGGGAAUGGUUAGGAGGCGUUCCAUAACCUGACAUCUUCUUAAAGAGUUUAUAGUAAGGUGAGUUAUCACACAUAGCCAACUGUAAUCCCUUUUAAAUGAAGGUUCUGUUUAUCGACUAUCCAGGUCAGGAUUAUAAAUCUCUGAACAAAUCACCAGGUAUAAUUAAAAGGAAUAAUGCCAGUUAUAUUUUCCAGUCGAUCUCUGCACCCCUUGGACUUCUCACAGAUAAAUACAGAUAGUAUCUCUGUGAACUAAUAGUAACUUGUUUAUUAUAGUACCUUUGUUUUUACCGCUAGCUUGAAAUACAUACCAGUAUUAAACACUGUAUAUGGCAUAACAAACUGGUUAAUUCUUUCAGUUUGCACUGCUGUGUUCAAUGGAGCUUUAGAAGUAUUUCCAAAGGAAUUUCCAAUCUUUAUUUACUCUUUGUAGAUAAAUUUGCUUUGCCUUUUUUCAUGCCAUUUUUGUGGUCAAUUUCUAGCAGUCAUCUUCAGUUCACCAAUGAGAAUUUCAC